rnacentral:lncRNA from 1 species
ACUGCGUCCUCACCGAGGUAUUGUCCGCUUUGGGGAUCGGGGAUCGUCGACCGCUCCCGGGGGUCCACCCUCUGGUGGCACCCCGGGUGGAACCACCCUUUCCACCCCUCACGGUUUUGCCUCCAAACGGCGCCUCGAUGAGAAGAGGUUAUUGAGCCCCCAUUUAAGGCACAGACCUUUCCGCUGAUUAGCCGAUGUGGGACUAAAAUUCGGAACCCCAUC